AAAAGAUUUGUGAGUAAUGGGAGGAAUACUGUAGACGUCUUUGAAGAGUGAACUGCAAAAUAUGUUAAAAAUUUGUGCAUUCAGAAAAAUGACAGAGAACUCAUGAAAAAGAAAAAGAAAAAAAAAAAAAAACCUGCUACUUCUAAGAACAACCAGCAGCCUCCAGCUGGGGAGGGCUUGUCAGGCGUCGAUGCCAAGUCACUGAGGAGUGAGGGUCGCAGCCUCCAGCGGGAACAGCGUGCCGUGGCAGCGCUUGGAGACCCCAGCUGGCAUUUCACUGUUGCCCUGGGGGCCGCUUCCUCCCAACUUGGUCUCCGGGGAGGACGGGCAGCUGAAGGGACACACAGAGGAGGGACGCGAUGCAUAAUGGCGAGCCUGUUCCAGGGGCCUGUGGAUCCAGAUCAGACGGGACCAAUGAGGCCUAAUUGGCCGCCUCGGAUCUGCAGAAAAUACUGAGGGGCCCGAAGGCGCACACAGACGCACGCGUGCGCGCGGUCCCCUCAGCCCUCUCAUCCUGAGCUCCGAAGAGAAGGGAGGGCGAGGGUGAAUGAAGCCCGCAGAGCACAAGAGCCCAGGUGGAGAUAGCAAAGCAAACCGCUUAGAUCUGGACUGUGAAAUCGGAGAAAACAUCACAGAUCGAUAUUUAAUUACAGACUAGACUUGCGGUUGGAAAAAAGUUUUAUGUCAAUUUGGUGUGAUGGUGCUGGACCGGUCUCAGACAAAAAGCGACAAGGUGAGCGAAUUCUAUUCGAAGUCCCAGGAGCCUUAAGUCGGACCCGCUGUAAUGAAGAACACAGAACUUACCGAUUAGAGUCACUAAUUGGGUAUGGGUAUUGGCGGUUCUGCGAAUGCGCCUUUUGUGGGUGUCUUCGUUGGACUGAAUAAGCCCUGCGACCUACUCCCUAGGCUGUCACACGCCGGGGUGCCCGCCCACCUGUCACCUUAACAAGUUUAGGGUUAGGCUUGGACUGAGGAGCCCGGCCCAGCGCCGUCCCCUGCCGUCUCUGGUCCCCAGUGACGCUGAGGCAGAUCACCACAAUGUUAGUGUACAGUUCUGGAAGCCAGAAGUCUGUACGCGGGGGUCAGCGUUCAGAACUCAAGUCCUCCUAUUCCCAAGUCGUCCCGCAGCAGUGCCCGGAGGGUGGGGCACUUCCGUGACGGCGGGGCCAGCAGCACAGCCUCCAGCCCUGCCAUUGCUUUGGGUCACCUGAGUGGCAGCCACCACUUCCGGUUGCUGCGAAUUUGACUCCUGCAACGAAAAGGGGACCGGUGUUUCCCUUCUCUGUGACUGGCUUGUUCAUUGCACUUGGGCUCAUCCAUGCUGUUGCUUAUAUGUCGG
rnacentral:lncRNA from 1 species